rnacentral:rRNA from 1 species
GAUGAACGCUGGCGGCGUGCCUAAUACAUGCAAGUCGAACGGACGGACGCGUUUCUGGCUUCUCUGUUGUUAGCGGCGGGCGUGAGAGUAAGACGGGUAUAACCCACCUAUAAGACCUGGAUCACAUCGGGAGAUCGGAGCUAAUACUGUAUAAUAUUUUCAAACGCAUGGUCAAUAAGGCAAAGCCGGUCGUGCUGUCACUAAUAGAUUGAUCCGCGCUGCAUUAUCUAGUUGGUAAGGUCACGGCUUAACCAGGCAAAGAGGGAUAGCCGACCUGAGAGCGUGAUCGGCCACACUGGAACUGAGACACGGUCCAGACUCCUACAGGAGGCCGCAGUAGAGAAUCUUCCGCAAUGGGCGAAAGGCUGACGGUGCAACACCGCGUGAAUGAUGAAGGUGUUACGAUCGUUAAACUAUGUUAUUAGGGAAGAACAAAUGUGCAAGCAGCUGUGAACAUCUUGACGGUACCUAAACAGAAAGCCACGGCUAACUACGUG